rnacentral:rRNA from 1 species
GGCGUAGGCGGCUUGUCAAGUCGGAUGUGAAAUCUCCUGGCUCAACUGGGAGGGUGCAUUCGAUACUAGCGAGCUGGAGUGCAGCAGAGGGAGGUGGAAUUCCCGGUGUAGUGGUGAAAUGCGUAGAUAUCGGGAAGAACACUAGUGGCGAAGGCGGCCUCCUGGGCUGUAACUGACGCUGAGGUCCGAAGGCGUGGGGAGCAAACAGGAUUAGAUACCCUGGUAGUCCACGCAGUAAACGAUGGAUACUAGGUAUGGGGAGUAUCGACCCUCUCUGUGCCGAAGCUAACGCUUUAAGUAUCCCGCCUGGGACUACGGUCGCAAGACUAAA